rnacentral:rRNA from 1 species
UAAGGAAUAUUGGUCAAUGGACGCAAGUCUGAACCAGCCAUGCCGCGUGGAGGAUUAAGGUCCUCUGGAUUGUAAACUUCUUUUAUCUGGGACGAAACACUUCUUUUCUAAGAGGCCUGACGGUACCAGAUGAAUAAGCAUCGGCUAACUCCGUGCCAGCAGCCGCGGUAAUACGGAGGAUGCGAGCGUUAUCCGGAUUUAUUGGGUUUAAAGGGUGCGUAGGCGGCGAUAUAAGUCAGUGGUGAAAUAUUUCGGCUUAACCGAGAGACUGCCAUUGAUACUGUGUUGCUAGAAUAUGGUUGCUGUGAGUGGAAUGUGUGGUGUAGCGGUGAAAUGCUUAGAUAUCACACAGAAUAUCGAUUGCGAAGGCAGCUCACAAAGCCAUUAUUGACGCUGAGGCACGAAAGUGUGGGGAUCAAACA